AUUGAACGCUGGCGGCAGGCCUAACACAUGCAAGUCGAACGAGUGGCGGACGGGUGAGUAAUGUCUGGGAAACUGCCUGAUGGAGGGGGAUAACUACUGGAAACGGUAGCUAAUACCGCAUACCAUCAGAUGUGCCCAGAUGGGAUUAGCUAGUUGGUGGGGUAACGGAUAACCAAGGCUACGAUCCCUUGCUGGUCUGAGAGGAUGACAAGCCACUCUGGAACUGAGACACGGUCCAGGCUCCUACGGGAGGCAUCAGUGGGGAAUAUUGCACAAGGGGCGGAAGACUGAUGCAGCCAUGCCGCGUGUAUGAAGAAGGCCUUCGGGUUGGAAAGUACGUUCAGCGGGGAGGCGUUACCCGCAGAAGAAGCACCGGCUAACUCCGUGCCAGCAGCCGCGGUAAUAC
rnacentral:rRNA from 1 species